GAUGAACGCCGGCGGCGUGCUUAACACAUGCAAGUCGAGCGAAGCAUAUAAGAAAGAUUCUUCGGAUGAUUUCUUAUAUGACUGAGCGGCGGACGGGUGAGUAACGCGUGGGUAACCUGCCUCAUACAGGGGGAUAACAGUUAGAAAUGACUGCUAAUACCGCAUAAGCGCACAGUGCUGCAUGGCACAGUGUGAAAAACUCCGGUGGUAUGAGAUGGACCCGCGUUGGAUUAGGCAGUUGGCGGGGUAACGGCCCACCAAACCGACGAUCCAUAGCCGGCCUGAGAGGGUGAACGGCCACAUUGGGACUGAGACACGGCCCAAACUCCUACGGGAGGCAGCAGUGGGGAAUAUUGCACAAUGGGGGAAACCCUGAUGCAGCGACGCCGCGUGAGUGAAGAAGUAAUUCGUUAUGUAAAGCUCUAUCAGCAGGGAAGAAAAUGACGGUACCUGA
rnacentral:rRNA from 1 species